rnacentral:rRNA from 1 species
UGCGUAGGGUCCGAGCGUUGUCCGGAAUUAUUGGGCGUAAAGGGCUCGUAGGCGGUUUGUCGCGUCGGGAGUGAAAACACGGGGCUUAACCCCGUGCCUGCUUCCGAUACGGGCAGACUAGAGGUAUGCAGGGGAGAACGGAAUUCCUGGUGUAGCGGUGAAAUGCGCAGAUAUCAGGAGGAACACCGGUGGCGAAGGCGGUUCUCUGGGCAUUACCUGACGCUGAGGAGCGAAAGUGUGGGGAGCGAACAGG